GUAUCAUGGCUCAGAUUGAACGCUGGCGGCAGGCCUAACACAUGCAAGUCGAACGGUAACAGGAAUCAGCUUGCUGAUUUGCUGACGAGUGGCGGACGGGUGAGUAAUGUCUGGGAAACUGCCUGAUGGAGGGGGAUAACUACUGGAAACGGUAGCUAAUACCGCAUAACGUCGCAAGACCAAAGAGGGGGACCUUCGGGCCUCUUGCCGAUCGGAUGUGCCCAGAUGGGAUUAG
rnacentral:rRNA from 1 species